rnacentral:rRNA from 1 species
CCUGGCUCAGGAUGAACNCUGNCGGCGUGCUUAACACAUGCAAGUCGAACGAUGAACCUCACUUGUGGGGGGAUUAGUGGCGAACGGGUGAGUAACACGUGAGUAACCUGCCCUUGACUCUGGGAUAAACCUGGGAAACCGGGUCUAAUACUGGANACGACCUUCUGGCGCAUNCCAUGUUGGUGGAAAGCUUUUGUGGUUUUGGAUGGACUCGCGGCCUAUCAGCUUGUUGGUGGGGUAAUGGCCUACCAAGGCGACGACGGGUAGCCGGCCUGAGAGGGUGACCGGCCACACUGGGACUGAGACACGGCCCAGACUCCUACGGGAGGCAGCAGUGGGGAAUAUUGCACAAUGGGCGCAAGCCUGAUGCAGCGACGCCGCGUGAGGGAUGAAGGCCUUCGGGUUGUAAACCUCUUUCAGUAGGGAAGAAGCCGGCCCUUCGGGUUGGUGACGGUACCUGCAGAAGAAGCGCCGGCUAACUACGUGCCAGCAGCCGCGGUAAUACGUAGGGCGCAAGCGUUAUCCGGAAUUAUUGGGCGUAAAGAGCUCGUAGGCGGUUUGUCGCGUCUGCCGUGAAAGUCCGGGGCUUAACCCCGGAUCUGCGGUGGGUACGGGCAGACUAGAGUGCAGUAGGGGAGACUGGAAUUCCUGGUGUAGCGGUGAAAUGCGCAGAUAUCAGGAGGAACACCGAUGGCGAAGGCAGGUCUCUGGGCUGUAACUGACGCUGAGGAGCGAAAGCAUGGGGAGCGAACAGGAUUAGAUACCCUGGUAGUCCAUNCCGUAAACGUUGGGCACUAGGUGUGGGGGACAUUCCACGUUUUCCGCGCCGUAGCUAACGCAUUAAGUNCCCCGCCUGGGGAGUACGGCCGCAAGGCUAAAACUCAAAGGAAUUGACGGGGGCCCGCACAAGCGGCGGAGCAUGCGGAUUAAUUCGAUGCAACGCGAAGAACCUUACCAAGGCUUGACAUGAACCGGAAUGAUGCAGAGAUGUGUCAGCCACUUGUGGCCGGUUUACAGGUGGUGCAUGGUUGUCGUCAGCUCGUGUCGUGAGAUGUUGGGUUAAGUCCCGCAACGAGCGCAACCCUCGUUCCAUGUUGCCAGCGGGUUAUGCCGGGGACUCAUGGGAGACUGCCGGGGUCAACUCGGAGGAAGGUGGGGACGACGUCAAAUCAUCAUGCCCCUUAUGUCUUGGGCUUCACGCAUGCUACAAUGGCCGGUACAAAGGGUUGCGAUACUGUGAGGUGGAGCUAAUCCCAAAAAGCCGGUCUCAGUUCGGAUUGAGGUCUGCAACUCGACCUCAUGAAGUUGGAGUCGCUAGUAAUCGCAGAUCAGCAACGCUGCGGUG